rnacentral:snRNA from 1 species
UUGGCCCUUGCUUCAGCCACACAUAUUCUAAAAUUGGAAUAAUAUAGAGAAGAUUAGCAUGGCCUUUAGCAAGAAUGACGUGCAAAUUUCUGAACUAAAAUAAAAUCUU